GGUCAGCUGACACAUCCCUGCCAAUCUCCGGCAGUCCCUUCCAGACCCUCCCACUUCCUGGACAGCAUCCAUGUUGAAGCUGCCUUCAACAUGGAUGCUGUCCAGGAGGUGGGAGGGUCUGGGAGGGAGGGUCUGCCGGAGAUUGGCAGGGAUGUGUCAUUUG